CUGUUCGAGCGUCAUUAUAACCACUCAAGCCUCGGCUUGGUCUUGGGGUUCGCGGUCUCGCGGCUCUUAAAAUCAGUGGCGGUGCGUCUGGCUCUAAGCGUAGUAAAUCUCUCGCUAUAGGGUCCCGACGGUUCCCUGCCCAGAACCCCCUAAUUUUUACGGUUGACCUCGGAUCAGGUAGGGAUACCCGCUGAACUUAA
rnacentral:misc_RNA from 1 species